UACGGAGGGGACUAGCGUUGUCCGGAUUUACUGGGCGUAAAGAGCGCGCAGGCGGUCGUUCAAGUCGAGUGUGAAAGCCCCCGGCUCAACUGGGGAGGGUCAUUCGAUACUGAUCGACUCGAAGGCAGGAGAGGGAAGUGGAAUUCCCGGUGUAGUGGUGAAAUGCGUAGAUAUCGGGAGGAACACCAGUGGCGAAGGCGACUUCCUGGCCUGUUCUUGACGCUGAGGCGCGAAAGCUAGGGGAGCAAACGGG
rnacentral:rRNA from 1 species